rnacentral:rRNA from 1 species
AACAUGAAUACAUAGUGUUGCGAGGCGAACGAGGGGAAGUGAAACAUCUCAGUACCCUUAGGAAAAGAAAUCAAUUGAGAUUCCCUCAGUAGCGGCGAGCGAACGGGGAAAAGCCCAUUAAGUCAUAUCAGUUUUAGUGGAAUGCUCUGGGAAGUGCAACCAUAGUGGGUGAUAGUCCUGUACACGAAAGGGCUUAUAUGAUGAUGUCGAGUAGGGCGGGGCACGUGAAACCUUGUCUGAAUAUGGGGGGACCAUCCUCCAAGGCUAAAUACUCCU